CCUACGGGAGGCAGCAGUGGGGAAUAUUGCACAAUGGGGGAAAGCCUGAUGCAGCGACGCCGCGUGAGUGAAGAAGGACUUCGGGAUGUAAAGCUCUAUCAGUAGGGAAGAAAAUGACGGUACUUGAGUAAGAAGCCCUGGCUAACUACGUGCCAGCAGCCGCGGUAAUACGGAGGGGGAAAGGGUUAUCCGGAUUUACUGGGUGUAAAGGGAACGUAGACGGCAGUGCAAGUCUGGAGUGAAAGGCGGGGGCUCAACCCCCGGACUGCUAUUGAAACUGUACGGCUGGAGUGCAGGAGAGGUAGGUGGAAUUCCUAGUGUAGCGGUGAAAUGCGUAGAUAUUAGGAGGAACACCAGUGGCGAAGGCGGCUUACUGGACUGUAACUGACGUUGAGGCUCGAAAGCGUGGGGAGCAAACAGGAUUAGAUACCCCUGUAGUC
rnacentral:rRNA from 1 species